rnacentral:rRNA from 1 species
UACGUAGGGUGCGGGCGUAAUCGGAAUUACUGGGCGUAAAGCGUGCGCAGGCGGCCUCUUAAGUCAGAUGUGAAAUCCCCGGGCUUAACCUGGGAACUGCGUUUGAAACUGGGAGGCUAGAGUGUGGAAGAGGGGGGUGGAAUUCCAGGUGUAGCAGUGAAAUGCGUAGAGAUCUGGAGGAACACCGAUGGCGAAGGCAGCCCCCUGGGCUAACACUAGACGCUCAUGCACGAAAGCGUGGGGAGCAAACAGG